CUGACAGGGAUGGCAGAGCCCCAUUACAUGGCACAGAGGGUGGCUGGCUUCCAGCUCAUCAGUGUAAGUCAUCAGAACUCAUCAUCUGAAUAGACUGUGUCAACAGAUCUUCCUUCCAACAGAGUACACCUGGACUGGAAAGAUGAAACAGCAAGAAUUGCCUUUUUUUGUUCUGGGGAGGAUUUACUUGCUCUCUAGAACCGACUUGUUUGAACUCUCAAGUUAAGCUGAAAAGAUGCUGUGAAAUACUGAAAAAAUGGAAGAAACAGAAACAUACAAAUGUUCAUUGUUAGCUAACUGCAGGACACUUCCCACAGCCCAUGUCCUACGUCCUGCUGGAGUACUUCUGUCCAUUGGAGUGUGGAAGGGGUUCAGAUCUCACCAUUAUUUUCAAGUCCCUGAGUCAUCUGAGUCCUUUUUGUUCUGGUAACCACCCAUGGCUAUUAUGGGAUGUGUGUGAACACCCUCUCCCUCCCACAGUCACAAACCUUCCUGGUUGUUCCUCUGACCUCCAGUCAAGCUCAC